UGGGGAAUAUUGCGCAAUGGGCUAAAGCCUGACGCAGCAAUGCCGCGUGAACGAAGAAGGCCUUCGGGUUGUAAAGUUCUUUAAGUAGGGAAGAAAAAAAUGACGGUACCUACAGAAAAAGUCACGGCUAACUACGUGCCAGCAGCCGCGGUAAGACGUAGGUGGCAAGCGUUAUCCGGAAUUAUUGGGUGUAAAGGGCGAGUAGGUGGAAAUGCAAGUCCGAAGUAAAAGACCAAGGCUUAACCUUGGGAUAGCUUAGGAAACUACAUAACUAGAGUACAGGAGAGGAAGGCGGAAUUAUCAGUGUAGCGGUGAAAUGCGUAGAUAUUGAUAGGAACGCCAAUGACGAAGGUAGCCUUCUGGACUGAUACUGACACUGAGGAGCGAAAGCUAGGGGAGCAAACAG
rnacentral:rRNA from 1 species